GUCUAUGGCCAUACCACCCUGAAUGCACCAGAUCUUGUCUGAUCUCAGAAGCUAAGCAGGGUCAGACCUGGAUAGUAUUUGGAAGGAAGAAUAUAAGGGACAUAAAUA
ensembl:rRNA 5S_rRNA 5S ribosomal RNA